rnacentral:rRNA from 1 species
GGACCUGACUGCUAUCGGAUUGAUACUAAGCCAUGCGAGUCAUUGUAGCAAUACAAGGCAGACGGCUCAGUAACGCGUAGUCAACCUAACCUAUGGACGGGAAUAACCUCGGGAAACUGAGAAUAAUGCCCGAUAGAACACUAUACCUGGAAUGGUUUGUGUUCCAAAUGAUUUAUCGCCGUAGGAUGGGACUGCGGCCUAUCAGUUUGUUGGUGAGGUAAUGGCCCACCAAGACUAUUACAGGUACGGGCUCUGAGAGGAGUAGCCCGGAGAUGGGUACUGAGACACGGACCCAGGCCCUAUGGGGCGCAGCAGGCGAGAAAACUUUGCAAUGUGCGAAAGCACGACAAGGUUAAUCCGAGUGGUUUCUGCUAAAGAAACCUUUUGUCGGUCCUAGAAACACCGAUGAAUAAGGGGUGGGCAAGUUCUGGUGU